GGUAGAAAAAAAAUAUAAGGGAAGAACCUGUCAAUACAGAUAACCAAGCUACCAUAUGGUUAAUGUGGCCUAAUUGCAAGUCUCCACUCAGCCAAGAAGUUUGCUGAAAAUUGCUGGGCUGUUUAUUGCUGGUUGUUGUAAAGAUAAAAUUGGAGGCACUUUUACAACUGCUGUGGAUCCAGUCUGAAACUUCCAAGC